CUGGGAACACUGCAGUCAUUGAGUCGAUCAUGAGCUCCUCUGAAUAGCAAAGUGUGCUAGAGUCAAACGUGAGGCCAUCUGUCGGACAGCUAAAGCUUGGUCGAAACUGGCUCAUGCAACAGGACAAUGAUCCCAAGCAUACCAACAAAUGUACAGCAGAAUGGCUGAAAAAGAAAAGAAUCAAGGAGUUGCAAAGUCCAG